AUUGAACGCUGGCGGCAUGCCUUACACAUGCAAGUCGAACGGCAGCACGGGUGCUUGCACCUGGUGGCGAGUGGCGAACGGGUGAGUAAUACAUCGGAACGUACCUUAUCGUGGGGGAUAACGCAGCGAAAGCUGUGCUAAUACCGCAUACGCCCUGAGGGGGAAAGCGGGGGAUCGCAAGACCUCGCGCGAUUAGAGCGGCCGAUGCCUGAUUAGCUUGUUGGUGGGGUAAAAGCCCACCAAGGCGACGAUCAGUAGCUGGUCUGAGAGGACGAUCAGGCACACUGGGACUGAGACACGGCCCAGACUCCUACGGGAGGCAGCAGUGGGGAAGUUUGGACAAUGGGAGCAACCCUGAUCCAGCAAUGCCGCGUGAGUGAAGAAGGCCUUCGGGUUGUAAAGCUCUUUUGUCAGGGAAGAAACACCGGCUCUAACACAGUCCGGGAAUGACGGUACCUGAAGAAUAAGCACCGGCUAACUACGUGCCAGCAGCCGCAGUAA
rnacentral:rRNA from 1 species